CUCAAAGGAAUUGACGGGGGCCCGCACAAGCGGUGGAGCAUGUGAUUUAAUUCGAAGCAACGCGCAGAACCUUACCAACCCUUGACAUCCUCGGACCGCCAGAGAGAUCUGGCUUUCACUUCGGUGACCGAGUGACAGGUGCUGCAUGGCUGUCGUCAGCUCGUGUCGUGAGAUGUUCGGUUAAGUCCGGCAACGAGCGCAACCCACAUCCUUAGUUGCCAGCAGUUCGGCUGGGCACUCUAGGGAAACUGCCCGUGAUAAGCGGGAGGAAGGUGUGGAUGACGUCAAGUCCUCAUGGCCCUUACGGGUUGGGCUACACACGUGCUACAAUGGCAGUGACAAUGGGUUAAUCCCAAAAAACUGUCUCAGUUCGGAUUGGGGUCUGCAACUCGACCCCAUGAAGUCGGAAUCGCUAGUAAUCGCGUAACAGCAUGACGCGGUGAAUACGUUCCCGGGCCUUGUACACACCGCCCGUCACACCAUGGGAGUUGGGUUUACCCGAAGGCCGUGCGCUAACUUUUGAGGCAGCGGACCACGGUGAGCUCAGCGACUGGGGUGAAGUCGUAACAAGGUAGCCGUA
rnacentral:rRNA from 1 species